rnacentral:rRNA from 1 species
UACGUAGGGGGCUAGCGUUGUCCGGAAUCAUUGGGCGUAAAGCGCGCGUAGGUGGCCAUGUAAGUCCGCUGUGAAAGUCCAGGGCUCAACCCUGGGAUGCCGGUGGAUACUGUCGGGCUCGAGUCCGGAAGAGGAGAGUGGAAUUCCUGGUGUAGCGGUGAAAUGCGCAGACUAUCAGGAAGAACACCCGUGGCGAAGGCGGCUCUCUGGGACGUGACUGACGCUGAGACGCGAAAGCGUGGGGAGCGAACAGG